GUAAGGCUGUAUUGGACAGUUAUGAAUAUUUUGCUGUGCUUGAUGCUAAAGAACUUGGUAUCUCUAUUAAAGUACACGAACCUCCAAGGAAAAUAGAGCGAUUUACUCUUCUCAUAUCAGUGCAUAUUUAUAAGAAGCACGGAGUUCAGUAUGAAAUGAGAACACUUUACAGAUGUUUAGAGUUAGAACAUCUAACUGGAAGCACAGCAGAUGUCUACGUGGAAUAUAUUCAGCGAAACUUACCUGAAAGGGUUGCCAUGGAAGUAACAAAGACACAAUUAGAACAGUUACCAGAACACAUCAAGGAGCCAAUCUGGGAAACACUAUCAGAAGAAAAAGAAGAAAGCAAGU
rnacentral:lncRNA from 1 species